CUGCGGUCAAAUCACAUUGAAACUACGAUUCCCUAACGAUCACGGAAGUUAAGCAACGUUGAGUCUGGUCAGUACCUAGAUGGGAACCGCUUGGGAAUACCAGGAGCUGUAAG